rnacentral:rRNA from 1 species
UAACCUACGGGGGGCAGCAGUAGGGAAUUUUCGUCAAUGGGGGGAACCCUGAUGCAGCGACGCCGCGUGAGUGAAGAAGUAUUUCGGUAUGUAAAGCUUUAUCAGCAGGGAAGAUAAUGACGGUACCUGACUAAGAAGCCCCGGCCAACUACGUGCCAGCAGCCGCGGUAAUACGUAGGGGGCAAGCGUUAUCCGGAUUUACUGGGUGUAAAGGGUGCGUAGGUGGCAUGGCAAGUCAGAAGUGAACGCCCGGGGCUCAACCCCGCGGACUGCUUUUGAAACUGUCAGGCUGGAGUACGGGAGAG